UACGGAGGGUGCAAACGUUGCUCGGAAUCAUUGGGCGUAAAGCGCACGUAGGCGGCUCGUUAAGUCGGAUGUGAAAACCCUGGGCUCAACCCAGGAAGUGCAUACGAAACUGGCGAGCUUGAAUAUGGAAGAGGGUCGCGGAAUUCCCGGUGUAGAGGUGAAAUUCGUAGAUAUCGGGAGGAACACCAGUGGCGAAGGCGGCGACCUGGCCUGUUCUUGACGCUGAGGCGCGAAAGCUAGGGGAGCAAACGGGAU
rnacentral:rRNA from 1 species